rnacentral:lncRNA from 1 species
GGUAGCCAGGGAGGGCUGGGGCCAAGGCCGCCCUGUAACAGGCCUGCCAUUGGAGCCAGAUAGGGGCACAUUCAGUGGGCAUGAGUCUUCAGGGACAGACCAUCUUCUUGCAUGGUCUCCAGGAUGCCUUCUCAUAGGAUGGGGGCUGUGAGGAUGGCCCUAGGCCUGAGCCUAAGCAACUCCAUUUUAAAAACUCCAGUUUGAAACCUGCAGGCUCACCAGGCACACCCACAGAGCCCUCCAGUGUGGCCUCAGACAAGUCACUUCCCCUGACCCUGAUCAACAGAGUGAAGCCCCUGGCAGGCUGUCCUCUCCUGAUAAGAGGGAAGGGCGAGAAGAUGGGGGGAGACACCAGACCAGAUGUUUCUGACCCCAGGGUAAAUGAUGUCACUUAGAAAUCCAGUGGUAGCUGAUAAGGAUUGAAAGGGGGGUCAAAAGCCCCCAAAUGUAGUAUAAAUAAUAGAGCAAAUGAACAGGGGUUCAGCCACCCGAAACAAGGAUGCACUUGAGCUGGAGAGCCUGAUGAGGACCUGACAUCCCGUCACUUGUCAUCCUUCCUGAGCCUCUGCGUGAUGGUCACCACUCUCAAACUCUACCGCCUUGUCUGGACCUUGGUGAGAGCCGCAACUUCUCCCUAAGACCCCCUCCUCAACCGGUUGUCCACUGCAUGCCAGGAAAAGCCUGCUUGGUUCCGGACCUGGUCACCACAGUCUGAGUGGGUGGGCAUCUGCUGGACAUAAAGCCUAAGACUUAGGACUUUUGAACUUAUCUUGCAGAGGGGAUGUCUGUCAUUAGUCUAUUGUGAUUAAGAGUGCUUGCAGUACUUAGACUUAAUCUAGAAUUGUUUGCUGUGAAUUGAUUAUGUCUAUUGCAGUGCCCAGCAUUAAGGAUUGUCUUUUUCUUGGUUAAGAACCUACAGAGUGAAACUGUAUGGAGUGAUUUGAGUGAAUAAAGCAUUGAAAGGGGC